rnacentral:lncRNA from 10 species
UGCGCAGGUGCAGAAAACACGCCGACGGACCGAGAGGCGACCUUGUCCCUGGUAGCGGAAGCAGGAGCAACGGCAGGAGGGAUGCGGAGCGCUCAGCUGCAGCCGCGCUUCUCGCCGGCGCCCUCGCUGCCCGAGCACAAGGACAGCCGCCCCGCCCGUUCCACCCGGUGCCCAAGGUCCCCCAGCUUCUCUGACCCCUCCGGCGUUUGCGGAACCUCCCGGGUCUGACGAGGACACCGCCGUUGCCCGAGGAGGCUACGGGGCAACGCAGAGCAGGCAGUGGGGACCGCAGGGCAGCCCCGGGGCGCCGUCCCCACCGCCCUUACCCUGGCUUCGCCUUGCCGCCGCGGGGAAUCCGGUGCGGACGCACGCGAACUCUGCCCGGGAGCCGAGGUGACGAUCUACCUGGUCUCGGCUCGGGUGCAAUGGUGCGAUCUUGCCCCACCAC